rnacentral:misc_RNA from 1 species
GAUGAAGAACGCAGUGAAAUGCGAUAAGUAAUGUGAAUUGCAGAAUUCAGUGAAUCUUCGAAUCUUUGAACGCACAUUGCGCCCUCUGGUAUUCCGGGGGGCAUGCCUGUUCGAGCGUCAUUACAACCCUCAAGCUUUGCUUGGUAUUGGACAUUGCCAGUUUCUGGCAGGUCUUAAAAUCAGUGGCGGUGCCAUUUGGCUUCAAGCGUAGUAAUUCUUCUCGCUUUGGAGAUCCAGGUGGUUACUUGCCAAUAACCCCCAAUUUUUUCAGGUUGACCUCGGAUCAGGUAGGGAUACCCGCUGAACUUAAGCAUAUCAAUAAGCGGAGGA